GACGAACGCUGGCGGCGUGCUUAACACAUGCAAGUCGAACGGAAAGGCCCUGCUUUUGUGGGGUGCUCGAGUGGCGAACGGGUGGGUAACACGUGAGUAACCUGCCCUUGACUUUGGGAUAACUUCAGGAAACUGGGGCUAAUACCGGAUAGGAGCUCCUGCUGCAUGGUGGGGGUUGGAAAGUUUCGGCGGUUGGGGAUGGACUCGCGGCUUAUCAGCUUGUUGGUGGGGUAGUGGCUUACCAAGGCUUUGACGGGUAGCCGGCCUGAGAGGGUGACCGGGCACAUUGGGACUGAGAUACGGCCCAGACUCCUACGGGAGGCAGCAGUGGGGAAUAUUGCACAAUGGGCGGAAGCCUGAUGCAGCAACGCCGCGUGCGGGAUGACGGCCUUCGGGUUGUAAACCGCUUUCGCCUGUGACGAAGCGUGAGUGACGGUAAUGGGUAAAGAAGCACCGGCUAACUACGUG
rnacentral:rRNA from 1 species